GCCUGACUGGCUCAGUUGGUAGAGCAUCAGACUCUUGAUCUUAGGGUUGUGACUCUGAGAUCCAUGUUGGGUG
rnacentral:tRNA from 1 species